UACGGAGGGUGCAAGCGUUAUCCGGAUUCGCUGGGUUUAAAGGGUGCGUAGGAGGGCAGGUAAGUCAGUGGUGAAAUCCCCGAGCUUAACUUGGGAACUGCCGUUGAUACUAUCUGUCUUGAAUACCGUGGAGGUGAGCGGAGUAUGUCAUGUAGCGGUGAAAUGCUUAGAUAUGACAUAGAACACCAAUUGCGAAGGCAGCUCGCUACACGAAUAUUGACUCUGAGGCACGAAAGCGUGGGGAUCAAACAGG
rnacentral:rRNA from 1 species